rnacentral:rRNA from 1 species
CCUACGGGGGACAGCAGUGAGGAAUAUUGGUCAAUGGCCGCGAGGCUGAACCAGCCAAGUCGCGUGAGGGAAGACGGCCCUACGGGUUGUAAACCUCUUUUGUCGAGGAGUAAAGCGAACCACGUGUGGUUCAUUGAGAGUACCCGAAGAAAAAGCAUCGGCUAACUCCGUUCCAGCAGCCGCGGUAAUACGGAGGAUGCGAGCGUUAUCCGGAUUUAUUGGGUUUAAAGGGUGCGCAGGCGGAGGUGCAAGUCAGCGGUCCAAUUGCGGGGCUCAACCCCGUACUGCCGUUGAAACUGCAUGCCAUGAGUGCGAGAGAAGUAGGCGGAAUGCGUGGGGUAGCGGUGAAAUGCAUAGAUAACACGCAGAACUCCGAUGGCGAAGGCAGCAUACCGGCGCGCAACUGACGCUCAUGCACGAAAGCGUGGGUAUCGAACAGGAUUAGAUACCCCUGUAGUC